GAUGAAGAACGCAGCGAAAUGCGAUAAGUAAUGUGAAUUGCAGAAUUCAGUGAAUCAUCGAAUCUUUGAACGCAUCUUGCGCUCCUUGGUAUUCUGAGGAGCAUGCCUGUUUGAGUGUCAUUAAAUUCUCAACUACACUGACUUUGAAUUGGUGUGGCUUGGAUUUGGGGGGAAAAUUGUUGUGGGCUUUUUGUAUAGUCUGCUCCCCUGAAAUUGAUUAGCGGUACCUUUGUGGAACUGUCUACAGGUGUGAUAAUUAUCUACAUCUUAGACAUCUGCUGGAAUGCUGCUUUCUAAACCUUACUUGUAUUGACAAUCUUGACCUCAAAUCAGGUAGGACUACCCGCUGAACUUAAGCAUAUCAAUCAGCGGAGGA
rnacentral:misc_RNA from 1 species